rnacentral:rRNA from 1 species
GAUGAACGCUGGCGGCGUGCCUAAUACAUGCAAGUCGAGCGAACGGACGAGAAGCUUGCUUCUCUGAUGUUAGCGGCGGACGGGUGAGUAACACGUGGAUAACCUACCUAUAAGACUGGGAUAACUUCGGGAAACCGGAGCUAAUACCGGAUAAUAUUUUGAACCGCAUGGUUCAAAAGUGAAAGACGGUCUUGCUGUCACUUAUAGAUGGAUCCGCGCUGCAUUAGCUAGUUGGUAAGGUAACGGCUUACCAAGGCAACGAUGCAUAGCCGACCUGAGAGGGUGAUCGGCCACACUGGAACUGAGACACGGUCCAGACUCCUACGGGAGGCAGCAGUAGGGAAUCUUCCGCAAUGGGCGAAAGCCUGACGGAGCAACGCCGCGUGAGUGAUGAAGGUCUUCGGAUCGUAAAACUCUGUUAUUAGGGAAGAACAUAUGUGUAAGUAACUGUACACAUCUUGACGGUACUUAAUCAGAAAGCCACGGCUAACUACGUG